UGCAGUCGANCGAUGAUGCNCCAGCNUNUGCUGGGUGGAUUAGUGGCGAACGGGUGAGUAACACGUGAGUAACCUGCCCCUGACUCUGGGAUAAGCGUUGGAAACGACGUCUAAUACUGGAUAUGACUGCCGGCCGCAUGGUCUGGUGGUGGAAAGAUUUUUUGGUUGGGGAUGGACUCGCGGCCUAUCAGCUUGUUGGUGAGGUAAUGGCUCACCAAGGCGACGACGGGUAGCCGGCCUGAGAGGGUGACCGGCCACACUGGGACUGAGACACGGCCCAGACUCCUACGGGAGGCAGCAGUGGGGAAUAUUGCACAAUGGGCGAAAGCCUGAUGCAGCAACGCCGCGUGAGGGAUGACGGCCUUCGGGUUGUAAACCUCUUUUAGUAGGGAAGAAGCGAAAGUGACGGUACCUGCAGAAAAAGCACCGGCUAACUACGUGCCAGCAGCCGCGGUAAUACGUAGGGUGCAAGCGUUGUCCGGAAUUAUUGGGCGUAAAGAGCUCGUAGGCGGUUUGUCGCGUCUGCUGUGAAAUCCCGAGGCUCAACCUCGGGCUUGCAGUGGGUACGGGCAGACUAGAGUGCGGUAGGGGAGAUUGGAAUUCCUGGUGUAGCGGUGGAAUGCNCANAUAUCAGGAGGAACACCGAUGGCGAAGGCAGAUCUCUGGGCCGUAACUGACGCUGANGGAGCNAAAGCGUGGGGANCGAACAGGAUUANAUACCCUGGUAGUCCACGCCCGUAAACGUUNNNCGCUANAUGUNNGNACCUUUCCACGGUUUCUGUGUCNNANCUAACGCAUUANNGCCCCGCCUGGGGA
rnacentral:rRNA from 1 species